CCGGGGACGGACGGCGGGCGGGGACGGGGGCUCCGCGUCCUCUGCCGGAUGCAGACGGAGGCUCUGCGCCUCGGCGUGGCCGUCCACCCGAGCACACUGCACGGGAUCCCCCGCGCAGGCCGGGAUCCCAGUACCCAGAAUCCUCAGCGGGCGGCUCCAGGACGUAAGUACCCAGAAUCCUCGGUGCGGCCCCAGGUUUCCAGUAACCAGAAUCCUCAGUGGGGAGAGUCCAGGACUUCAGUACCCAGAAUCCUUGGCGCAGUGUUGCUCCAGAACUUCGGUACCCGUAAGCAUCAGCCACGCUUCAUGCUUCAGUACCCAGAAUCCUCAGCGCAGUGUGGCUCCAGGACCUCUCUACCCAGAAACCUCCGACCUUCAGCUGUCCAGCACCAGAGUCCUUGAAGCGGUGCAGCACCAACUCAUCAGUACCGAGAGGACUCAGCGCGGUGCAGCCCCAGGGCUUCAACACCCAGAUUCCCCAGAGGCGUGGCCAAAGGUCUUAGGUACCGAGAAUCCGUGGCGCAGCUCCACCUCCCGGGACUGCACCUCCCAGACCCCCCCCUUUCGGCCCAGGUCGGCAGUUCCCUAGUCGAGUCCCCCAGCCGCAGGGGCUGCCUUUUGCCUCAGCUUCAAGUGAGGCCUCCUUGGAUGGAAGCUGCACGGCCUCUACCCAGUUGCUGGAUGGGCGUUCUGGGAGCUGCGGGAGCAUCUGCUGCACAACCGUGCUGCAACUCGCAUGUAGGGCCCCACGUUCCUUUCUGGGUGGAGAAGUUCAUCUCCAUAUCAAUGGGUAAUCACCUGGGCAACAGAGGGCUUAUCUGUACCAGAGAGGUGAGGGGGAGGACCGGUGUGGUUGCUGCUUGAGCAGAGAAGAAAGACGUCUGGGACUGCCGUUUGUGAUCAAUAAACAGGUUUUAAACUC